UUCUCUCCUGCCUGCAAAUAUGGCAUCAGGAAACAUAAACACCUACAAGAUAAAAGCAAAACCUAAUCCUAGAAAAACAAGCCUGACUAUUUACUCACCCAGAUCUAACUCUGGACUAGACCCAUGCAACUCACACCAGAGCCUACCAGCAGCUACUGCUGGUCAUGCUGCUAUGAGAACUGCCUUCACAGAGAGCCUAAAAAUCAGGCAGGAAAUCAGAUACAAAGAAGAACAUGGGGUAACAAGACAGUGACACUUUCCUGUAAGAAGACCAUAAAUCUUUAUACAAGGGGGCGGACUGGAGAACGUCAGGGGUUUCCAUGUGUGAGUGUUUAAAAUAAAACCUUAUUCAUGCUGGAGUGGGGAAGAAAAGAACUGGCAAGCUGGGAACACAAAAAGAGAAAAGGAGGAACCUUAAAAUAUGAGGAUUGACUGGGUCUUGAGCUCUGAAGUUUUUUUUUCCAGAGUGCCUGUGAAUGAAGAUAUGGUCCCUGCUCAGAAAAUCUGACCCAAAUACUCUUCUCCUAAAUGGCACAACUACUGUGAAAGCCAAUUACUGCACCGUGGGUUCUUCAGAUCCGUAGCUUCUCAAAAUUAAUAUAAGUGCUGGAAAAGAUACCGGAAAAAAGAUCAGUUAUGGAUAAUCUGAGUCUUGAUGUGCUUCCCUGGGAUUUACAGUUAACCUCUGAUCCAAUUAAAGGCUGUGGAGGGACUAUACACAAAAGUAGUGCUGUAGUUCCUUUCCCUUGUAUUUUACAUCCCCAAUGAAUAUUCUGUAUCUACAGGCACCACAAAUGACAAUUCAGAGAGUCAGUUAGAAGUCUCAGCAAAAUUCCUGGUGUCUUGGCACAGGACCUCCUAAUGGGGGUCAUUCAGAGGGAAACCUGCUGAGGGUGACUGGGAAGAAGGAGUCAUUGCCUCUGAGGGAGCCUUCUGUCCACAUCUCAGGACUUGUGACACUGCUUCAGAAAGAAAGCUUAAGUUGUUAGAGCAGAGAAAAUCUUCAUUACGGUACCCCACCCUCAGGCAUGUGAAAGACAAGCAGCUCAGCACCUUCCAGAGUCAGGCCCAUAAAGAUGAGAGGCUCUGGAACUUGAGGGACAGGUAAGUGAGGAUGUGGUGGAAGGUCCACCCAGGAGGUUAUCUAGGGCAAGGAGGCUGACUCCACAUCCCAAGACUGCAUCUGACAAGAAGACAAUCACUGUGGGCAACUCCCUUCUGAGAGGAACGGACAGCCCCAUAUACUGGCCAGACCUUACUCAUAGGGAAGUGUACUGCCUCCCUGGGUGAGGGUCAGGGAUGUUACUAGAAGGCUCCCUAGUAUGGUUCACCCUCUGUUUAUUAUCCCUUAUUGGUACUUCAGGCUGGCAGUGAUGAAGUCACUGAGAGAAGCUUGAGAGCUAUCAAAAGGAACUUCAGGUGGCUGGGGCAGUUUGUGGACAGAGAGGAAGUACAGUUGGUUUUUCUCUGUCCCUUCAGUGGCAGGGAGGAACACUGAGAGGACCAGGAAAUCCCAUCUGAUAAAUACAUGGCUGAGAGGCUGGUGCUGCUGUAGGAAUUUUGGCUUUUUUGAUCAUAGGGCCGUUUACUCAGCACCUGGCUACAAAUGAGGUCCACCUAGGUCAAUGGGGGAAAGGAAUUCUGGCCCAGGAGCUGUUUGGGCUUGUUGACAGGGCUUUAAACUAGGUUUGAAGGGGGAAGGGAGUGAUACCGAGCCUGCCCAUGACAAGGUGUGGGAUAGCAUAUCUAAGUUAAAGGGACAAGAUGCUAGUAGGGGCCCUCAAUCUGUUGCAUUUUAUAAUGAAUAUACUAGGCAUCGAGCUGUCAGGGCUCAUCACCAUGGCUUUAAAAUAGAUUUGAUGGUGGAAGAGGAUGUAGUGCCAAGGAACAAAGAGUCAGGGAACAUUGUCACUUUAAGAAGCAGAGGAGAAAACCUCAGAUUUGUCCCAGGGGUUUUUGGGAGGGCUCCUCCAAGAAGAUAAUGUGGCCAAAAGCCCAACUGAAGUGCCUCUAUGCCAAUGCACGCAGAAUGGGAAAUAAGCAGGAGGAAUUGGAAACUGUGACGUAAUUGGAAAACUAUGAUCUUACUGCUAUCACAGAAACAUGGUGGGAUGACUCACAUCUGAAACACUGAAACACCAUGAUUGAGGGUUAUAGGCUUUUUAGAAGGGAUAGGCAAGAUAGGAGAGGUGGGGAAGUUGCUCUGUAUAUUAAGAAGUAGAUAGACUGCAAAAAGCUGCCGCUGGGAAACAGUUAUGAAGAGGCUGAGAGCUUGUGAGUUAAAAAAAUUAGGGACUGGACCAAUAAAGGGCAUCUGGUGAUGGGGUCUACUCCAAGCUACCUGAUAAAGUGAGGCUGUUGACAAGGCCUUCUUACUUCAGCUGCAAGAGACAUUGCGCUCACAGGCUUUCAUCCUAAUGAAGGAUUUCAACCGCUCAGAUAUCUGCUGGGAAAACAACAGGGCAGCCUGCAAGCAGUCCUGGAAACUCCUGAAGUCCACUGAUGACAAUUUUCUGGUUCACAUAUUGGACAGACACAGCAGAGGUGAAGCACUUCUGGACCUGGUGCUCACCAACGCAGAAGAGAUCAUAAAAGAAGUUACAAUCAGAGGCAGCCUGAGCUGCAGCAACUAUGCCCUGGUUGAGUUUGUGAUCUCAAGGAAUGUGGAAGCAGUGAUGGGUGGCCUGGGAAAAUAUAGGGAUGCUGUCUGGAUGUGCAAGGAUGGAGUCUGGAAAACUGAGGCGCAAAUGGAAUUGGAUUUGGUCAGGGAUGUGAAAAACAACAAGGGAUGCAAACAAGACAAAAUAGAGGGGUCAGCGUUCUGCACAGUGACUCACUCCAGUGCUAUUACAGAAAAGGAUGUUUUAAUGUGCUGCUUCCCAUCCAAACUUCAUGAAAUGGGAAGCCUCCCAGAACUCUUCCAGAAGCCCAGCUGGAACUCCCCACUAUGAAAAACACUUCAACGUGAAUUAGAAAGUUUGCAAGAAAACCAUUACAAAACAGUACCAUCCUUGGCUAUACUAUGCGGUACUUCCCACAUAUUAGGAUCUCCAAAGAAUGUCAUUUUUGCCUUGAAAAAGUAUCCCAAGCUAUUCCCAUCUGCAAGGACAAUCUCUUUACUCCACUCUCAGAAUUUCUGAUGUCCCAGCUAUACCAGAGAUUACACCACGGACAUUGUGACAAGUUAAAAACCUGAAGUACUACGUCAUCUGAUGGUACAUGAGUGCUUCCUCCUGUGCCUGACUUUACUUUGGACCUGGGAACAAGAGCUAAGACAAAGCAUGGAUUUUCUGUCUGAGUGUUUGCAGACGCUUCUAUUACAUGAUCACAUUAUAGCGCUGUUGAAAACUGCUGUCAGCCCGUUAAAUAACACCGGACAGGUACUUAGGAUCUUCCAUUACCACAAUAAUGACAUAUCUCCCAAGUUUUGAAACAUCGGCUCAAGUUGCUCCCAGCUGUUCCACCGCAGCUCGUUUUCCUGCCAAUCACCACAUGGUGGUGGUGUAUCACCAUGAGUUCAGUGUUCGGGUCUGACUCCUGAGAGCUGAAUAGUUGGUUUAAGAAAGCUGGAUAUUUACAGCACAGCACAUUUACAAGGAUGCUUGUAGAGUGAACCCUCUAAAUCCAGUUUACCUUUGAAUUUAUAUGCAUUGCUUAACUGCUUUGCAUAGAGAACUGUCUGGCUUUCCAGUCAGGAAUCUCCCAGAGUAUUUCAAGCAACAUAUUUAUAACUCCAGGUGCAUCCACAUGCAGAAGGAUUUGAAGUCACAUGUGAUUUAUUUGUCCAUCUGCUUCAUCUCAACCUAUUUUGUUUCAUUUUGUUCUUGUUCUUGUUUUGUUUUGCUUUAAUAAUCCUUUGAUACUUAAUCAUCCAUUUCCUAUGGAAAAAAAAAAAAAAAAGUGCUCCCAAGAAUUCCAAUAGAGUCCAGGAAGGCUGAAUGCCUACUCUUCUGAAUUUGCUCCUAAAAGUCUUCUUCUGCAAAGCGUUUCAGCCACCCUUCACCAAAGUCAGGCAAUAAAAAGAAGGUGUACUGCAUUGCCAUUGUGUUUUUCAGCCCAUUCACAUUAUAGACCUUAAAUUAGCUAUUAUAUGUCCUUAGCUGAAUGUGGACAGUGACAGCCCAAUCGAAGACAGAGUGAAGUCAAUGGGAACCUUUCAGUUCUCCCUCAUUUGGCCCUGAAUCAAGUUCAAAGUUGUCUGAUUCAAGAAACAGAUCUUCUGUGUUUUUACAAAGAUGAUUUUUCUCCAGUAUGGAUAUAGGUUACAAAAAAAUUCCAUUAGGGCUUUGUGCACAAAAGAAGCUAUAUGUAACAAUGACAGCAUGUCUCAAACCAACAGAGAGAUUAGCUCUACUUUAAUUGGUUUGAAACAAGGGCACAUCAUCAACAGGGACGGGAGAACUGGCUUGGACUUAAUGAGAAAUGCAUCAUUUCCCACUCACAAACUUACUGCAGACUUACCCUGAACUUUCUAAAUCAAAACUGUUUUAAUAAACUUUUUUGUUGCAUUGCUUCA
ensembl:lncRNA